AUUGAACGCUGGCGGCAUGCUUUACACAUGCAAGUCGAACGGUAACAGGCCUUCGGGCGCUGACGAGUGGCGAACGGGUGAGUAAUGCAUCGGAACGUGCCCAGAGGUGGGGGAUAACGCAGCGAAAGCUGUGCUAAUACCGCAUAUUAUCUGAGGAUGAAAGCGGGGGACUAAGCAGCAAUGUUUGGCCUCGCGCCUUUGGAGCGGCCGAUGUCAGAUUAGGUAGUUGGUGGGGUAAAGGGCCUACCAAGCCGACGAUCUGUAGCUGGUCUGAGAGGACGACCAGCCACACUGGGACUGAGACACGGCCCAGACUCCUACGGGAGGCAGCAGUGGGGGAAUUUUUGGGACAAUGGGCGCAAGCCUGAUCCAGCAAUGCCGCGUGCAGGAAGAAGGCCUUCGGGUUGUAAACGU
rnacentral:rRNA from 1 species